UCCGGCUUAUCACCGGCGGUUUCUUUAGAGUGCCCAACUAAAUGAUGGCAACUAAAGACGAGGGUUGCGCUCGUUGCGGGACUUAACCCAACAUCUCACGACACGAGCUGACGACAGCCAUGCAGCACCUGUGUUCUGGUUCCCGAAGGCACCCUCCGAUCUCUCAGAGGUUCCAGACAUGUCAAGGCCAGGUAAGGUUCUUCGCGUUGCAUCGAAUUAAACCACAUACUCCACCGCUUGUGCGGGCCCCCGUCAAUUCCUUUGAGUUUCAGUCUUGCGACCGUACUCCCCAGGCGGCGAACUUAACGCGUUAGCUUCGAUACUGAGAGCCAAAUUGCUCCCAACAUCCAGUUCGCAUCGUUUAGGGCGUGGACUAC
rnacentral:misc_RNA from 1 species